GCUCCAGAUGAACCACCAGCCUUCUGUGUCUGCAACUCUUGAGAGAUAAGGAAGAAUCUUGGGUGGUACCCUCAAAGACAAAGUGAUUCUGCAGGUUUAGAAUGUGAUGAAAUCCAGGCAAAAUAAGAAAGUGACAAAAUACACGUAAAGGGGCAUGCAUGAGAAUUAAAAUCAACUCUCUGUUGGCAAUCUUGCUUGCAAACCUUAUCUCCUAUUCCUCUCCUACAGGAAGCUCUCGGCCUCUCACCUCAGCCAGUCACAGACUCCCAUCUCCAGACUGUUUACACGUGUCUGCUCUGCAAUGUUCCACCCAUCCAUCUCAGCCUGGGAAAUGACUAUUCUGAAUUCAAGGCACUCACUGGACAUGUGCUUGAUGAGAGCCCACCACGGAUGAGGCACUAAGUAAGAUCAGGGAGGAGGAAAAAGCUGGAAGCCAGUAGGCAGCACGUCUUCCGAUGACCUCUCCAGAUGGCAAUACCUGUUUCCACAACAGAUUCCCCCCCGUACAUAGUUGCAUAUUCUUCGUUGUGGGUCCUUCUAGUUGUGGCAUGUGGGAUGCCGCCUCAGCGUGGUUUGAUGAGCAGUGCCAUGUCCGCGCCCAGGAUUCGAACCAACGAAAGACUGGCCGCCUGCAGCGGAGCGCGCGAACUUAACCACUCGGCCACGGGGCCAGCCCCGGUCAUUUUUCUUUUAAACAUACUGGGAGUCAUAGAAUUGAAAAGAGCCCAGGUUCAGAGGAGUCAGGUAACUUGACCAAAGUCUAACCCCUAUAAAGCACCUAAGCCAGGAUGUCUCCCCAUCCAGAGGCAUCACUGCCUCAAGCGAUUCCAGAAUAGUCUAUCAUAGAGGUUAAGCUCACGGGAUUUAGAGUGAGACAGAAGUGUUCCUUUCAAAGUUCCACCUCUUACUUUGUGACCUUGGCAAGUAAUUCAGCUUCCCCUUUUGAAAACUGGAGGCCAUAAUGGUACCUACCACAGAGAGUUCCUAUUAAGAUUAAAUAAAAUUGCACUUGAAGCAUUCAGUACAGGCCUGGCAUGCAGUCAGCGCGCAGUAAAUAGUAGCUCUUAUUAUAAGAGCUGUAUUUGUUGAAUGAGUGACUCUGGUAUAUAACGCCUGCAUUCAACUUGAAGCUUGAAGCUGUCCCAGUCGUUCAGCUGCAGAGGUGGGAGCUGUAGCACUCGCCAAUUUUUUCUGGAAAUAAAUCUUUGUGGGAGGAUAAUUACGGGUUGGAAAGCGUGAGCCUUG
rnacentral:lncRNA from 1 species